AGUGAACGCUGGCGGUAGGCCUAACACAUGCAAGUCGAACGGCAGCACAGUAAGAGCUUGCUCUUACGGGUGGCGAGUGGCGGACGGGUGAGGAAUACAUCGGAAUCUACUUUUUCGUGGGGGAUAACGUAGGGAAACUUACGCUAAUAUCGCAUACGACCUACGGGUGAAAGCAGGGGAUCUUCGGACCUUGCGCGAUUGAAUGAGCCGAUGUCGGAUUAGCUAGUUGGCGGGGUAAAGGCCCACCAAGGCGACGAUCCGUAGCUGGUCUGAGAGGAUGAUCAGCCACACUGGAACUGAGACACGGUCCAGACUCCUACGGGAGGCAGCAGUGGGGAAUAUUGGACAAUGGGCGCAAGCCUGAUCCAGCCAUACCGCGUGGGUGAAGAAGGCCUUCGGGUUGUAAAGCCCUUUUGUUGGGAAAGAAAAGCAGCAGAUUAAUACCCCGCUGUUCUGACGGUACCCAAAGAAUAAGCACCGGCUAACUUCGUG
rnacentral:rRNA from 1 species